rnacentral:rRNA from 1 species
GACAUACCACUUGUUGCCUCGGCGGAUCAGCCCGCUCCCGGUAAAACGGGACGGCCCGCCAGAGGACCCCUAAACUCUGUUUCUAUAUGUAACUUCUGAGUAAAACCAUAAAUAAAUCAAAACUUUCAACAACGGAUCUCUUGGUUCUGGCAUCGAUGAAGAACGCAGCAAAAUGCGAUAAGUAAUGUGAAUUGCAGAAUUCAGUGAAUCAUCGAAUCUUUGAACGCACAUUGCGCCCGCCAGUAUUCUGGCGGGCAUGCCUGUUCGAGCGUCAUUUCAACCCUCAAGCACAGCUUGGUGUUGGGACUCGCGUUAAUUCGCGUUCCUCAAAUUGAUUGGCGGUCACGUCGAGCUUCCAUAGCGUAGUAGUAAAACCCUCGUUACUGGUAAUCGUCGCGGCCACGCCGUUAAACCCCAACUUCUGAAUGUUGACCUCGGAUCAGGUAGGAAUACCCGCUGAACUUAAGCAUAUCAAU